rnacentral:misc_RNA from 1 species
UGAUCUUGAGUGUGGAAGAUAGAGUUGCAUCGAACAAUGAUGAAGUAUUGGGGAAAUGUGCAAUUCCUUUGCAGUAUGUGGACAGGCGGCUUGACCACAGACCUGUUAAUAGCAGGUGGUUUAAUCUGGAGAAACAUGUUGUUGUUGAAGGGGAAAAGAAGAAAGAAAUUAAGUUUGCCAGCAGGAUUCACAUGAGAAUCUGUCU